rnacentral:misc_RNA from 1 species
GAAAUGCGAUAAGUAGUGUGAAUUGCAGAAUUCAGUGAAUCAUCGAAUCUUUGAACGCACAUUGCGCCCUUUGGCAUUCCGAAGGGCAUACCUGUUCGAGCGUCAUUUCAACCCUCGAGCCCCCCCGGGGGCCUCGGUGUUGGGGGACGGCACACCAGCCGCCCCCGAAAUGCAGUGGCGACCCCGCCGCAGCCUCCCCUGCGUAGUAGCACACACCUCGCACCGGAGCGCGGAGGCGGUCACGCCGUAAAACGCCCAACUUUCUUAGAGUUGACCUCGGAUCAGGUAGGAAUACCCGCUGAACUUAAGC